UACGUAGGGGGCAAGCGUUGUCCGGAUUUAUUGGGCGUAAAGAGCUCGUAGGCGGUUGGGCAAGUCACGUGUGAAAUCUCCACGCUCAACGUGGAGGCGCCACGUGAGACUGCCCUGACUCGAGUCCGGUAGGGGAGUGUGGAAUUCCUGGUGUAGCGGUGAAAUGCGCAGAUAUCAGGAGGAACACCGAUGGCGAAGGCAGGUCUCUGGGCAUUAACUGACGCUGAGGAGCGAAAGCAUGGGGAGCGAACAGG
rnacentral:rRNA from 1 species